rnacentral:lncRNA from 1 species
UUUUAGACAUAAAAGUUCAGCGAUAUAGACAUGUCUAGUAAAGAAGCAGAAUGGAUAAAAUAUUUUACUUUACAUUCAUAAAUCCUACAGUCCUUAAACUUCUCUGAAUUUAACCUGUUCUUGGGAUGUGUUGAAAAGCCAUUGAGAAGUGAAAUUGCAUUGUUUAUCUUCAUCUUUCUUAGAUGCCAGGUCCUUGAAAGGAAAAAUUCUGCAAUCCCAGCAGAGCUGAAUGAAAAGCAAGAGCUUGUUUAUAAUAACAAGAAGCUAGAGCUGCAAGUGGAAAGCAUGCGAUCGGAAAUAAAAAUGGAGCAAGCUAAAACAGAGGAUGGAAAAGUUCAUCAAUUUUGGAGGGGGUUAUUAUGUCUCUAUAUCAGUAUUAUCUUUUAAAAAUAUUGUUGUUUUAAAUCAGGAAAUUGGGCUAGGGCCGUAGCUCAGUGAUAGAGCACUUGCCUGGCAUGUGUGAGGCAUUGGGUUUCAUUCUCAGCACCAC